rnacentral:tRNA from 1 species
UUAAUCUUGACUCAGCUGAACAGUCGGUAGAGCAUGAGAAUCUUAAUCUCAAGGUCUUGGGUUCGAGUCCCAUUUGGGCCAAAGAUUACA